CACGUAGGGGGCAAGCGUUGUCCGGAUUUAUUGGGCGUAAAGAGCUCGUAGGUGGUUCGGUAAGUCGGGUGUUAAACCCCCAGGCUCAACCUGGGGACGCCACUCGAUACUGCUGUGACUUGAGUCCGGUAGGGGAGCGUGGAAUUCCUGGUGUAGCGGUGAAAUGCGCAGAUAUCAGGAGGAGCACCAGCGGCGAAGGCGGCGCUCUGGGCCGGUACUGACACUGAGGCACGAAAGCGUGGGGAGCAAACAGG
rnacentral:rRNA from 1 species